rnacentral:rRNA from 1 species
AUUGAACGCUGGCGGCAUGCCUUACACAUGCAAGUCGAACGGCAGCACGGGGCAACCUGGUGGCGAGUGGCGAACGGGUGAGUAAUGCAUCGGAACGUACCUUUCAGUGGGGGAUAACGUAGCGAAAGUUACGCUAAUACCGCAUAUUCUGUGAGCAGGAAAGCAGGGGAUCGCAAGACCUUGCGCUGAUUGAGCGGCCGAUGUCAGAUUAGCUAGUUGGUGAGGUAAAGGCUCACCAAGGCGACGAUCUGUAGCGGGUCUGAGAGGAUGAUCUGCCACACUGGGACUGAGACACGGUCCAGACUCCUACGGGAGGCAGCAGUGGGGAAUUUUGUUCAAUGGGGGCAACCCUGAUCCAGCCAUGCCGCGUGAGUGAAGAAGGCCUUCGGGUUGUAAAGCUCUUUCGGCCGGGAAGAAAUCGCACGGGCUAAUACCCUGUGUGGAUGACGGUACCGGAAUAAGAAGCACCGGCUAACUACGUGCCAGCCGCCGCCGUAACAC